rnacentral:SRP_RNA from 1 species
UCGUGCUAGAUGGGGAGCUAGCGGUGCCCUGUACCCGCAAUCCGCUGUAGCGGGGUCGAAUUCCCCCUCGAGGUCGGACCGUUUAGGACUGCCUGGGCAAAGUGGUGUUGAAUAUCGGGUCCGGCGCGGCAGGAGCUUGCCCAACCCCGCCAGGUUCGGAAGAAAGCAACGGUUAGCAUUCUCUCCUGGGUGCCGCCGGGCGACCUGAUAGGAGCCGGCUGGCUCCGGCAAGCUGGGCGAUCUUGGUCGACAGGGGGUGCACGA